ACCAAUCUUAGUUGUCUCAGUGGG
rnacentral:siRNA from 1 species